rnacentral:rRNA from 1 species
UUUUGCUAUGGUGAUUAGAGGAAAAAGGCAUUAGCCUUGCCGAAGGAUGAGUCUGCGUCUGAUUAGCUAGUUGGUGUGGUAAUGGCGCACCAAGGCGACGAUCAGUAGCCGGCCUGAGAGGGUGACCGGCCACAUUGGGACUGAGACACGGCCCAGACUCCUACGGGAGGCAGCAGCUAAGAAUCUUCCGCAAUGGGCGCAAGCCUGACGGAGCGACGCCGCGUGGGUGAAGAAUGCCGAGAGGUUGUAAAACCCUUUUCUUACAGAAGAAUAAUAAUCGGAGGUAAUGCCGGUUAGAUGACGUUAUGUAAGGAAUAAGCACCGGCCAAUUACGUG